UACGUAGGGUGCAAGCGUUGUCCGGAAUUAUUGGGCGUAAAGAGCUCGUAGGCGGCCUGUUGCGUCCGCUGUGAAAACCCGGGGCUUAACCCCGGGCUUGCAGUGGAUACGGGCAGGCUGGAGGCAGGCAGGGGAGAACGGAAUUCCCGGUGUAGCGGUGAAAUGCGCAGAUAUCGGGAGGAACACCGGUGGCGAAGGCGGUUCUCUGGGCCUGUACUGACGCUGAGGAGCGAAAGCGUGGGGAGCGAACAGG
rnacentral:rRNA from 1 species